AGUUUCGAAUACUUAUUUAUCUUUUACUGUGCAACCAUAACCUCAAACAGAGCUACGUAUAUGGUAGAAACUGUUCUACAGAUGGGAGUAUAUCUUAUCUCCUCAUGGAGAGCUGUCGACUAUCGUGUAACCCGAGAGUUCCCAUGAUCAUAAACUCAAUCGUUGAUAACGUUGAUGAUCGUGCGCUAAAUUGACCCUCCUGAAGAGACCCGUUGGCAAGGCGAAUGUGUUAGCCAAGGGACAAAACGGAUGCGACGAUCAGCGAGGAAAAAGCGCGUGUCAGUCGGGCAAAGGGGUGUACCCCCUUUUUUCAUUUAAAUUACUCGAAGGCGGUAGUGGCGCGAUGCGGCCAGCAUAACUAAUAGCCUUAUAUUGUGCGCUGCCACUGCCAGUCAAGGCGACUCAAGCGCACUACCACGUCAACCAUUUUGCGAGUCUGUACACGACAGGAAAAUAAUACGGGUUGCACAUAAUCCGUGAAUGCUUUUCGUCUAUUUGGAUCCACCGUUGCACACGGCCCGACAGAGCAUACAACAAUACAGGAUAUGUCACAGUCGCAAGCGAGGAAAUCACGUAAUCGUUUAUACGACUAGCAACCAGUCAGUGAGAAUGGAAAUGUUCUGCGUAGCUACACUUUUCAUCCACUAGACAGAUCGACUUAUCUAUGCACACUGAUCACAACAGACAAAUUAAAAUUCAACGUGCCAAGGAUGGCUCGAGCCAUAUUCCCGCUAUUGUGCAUCGUUUCAUCGCGGAAGGUUAUUAAGCCCAGCAGAUAGGGAGGCAAAGGUACGUAUACAAUAAACCGAGCAACCGAGCGUGACACGAAACGGCGCGAGGAAGCGCAAACAUCCAUUUACGCUCGCAACGGAUGCGUAAAUACGUGCGCAGAAAUAGAGGAAUAAGUGGACGUUGAGCGUGGCUAUUGGCCACGUGUGUACAAAAAGGAAAGGCAAUAUAUACCUGGUCGGCGGACAGGAUAUGUUGGAUAAACUAAUUAACGAUUGAACGAUGUCGGAAGUAAUUAGUCAUUUAUCCUAUUCGUGACGCAAUUAAAUGCUGGAUAGAUUUUUUUUUUAUAGGAAAUUAAUUUGUACAUUUGUGUCGUUUGCGAAUGACGAAUAAACGAAAUCAAUCUCAAGUAAAUGAAAAUAUAUUUUAUAGCAGAUACUGAAGAAAUAUUAUCCUUAUAAAUAUAUAUAUAUAUGUAUAUAUAUACAUAUGAUCGUUAAACAAUAUUGAGAUAGAGAAGAGAUUUAUGAAUGAUAAUUUAUAAUUUAUGGAUACUAAUUUUUUUUAUAACUGAUUAGAAAUUAUAAUUUGUAUAAAUGUUGCAAAAAGUAUCAAGUAUGUCAAAACAAGCAAAAAAUUCUUAAUAAAAGUAAAACAUUUUUAUUAAAUAUGUAAUAGAUUAGAUAAUUGAAGACUAAUUUUCAUAAAUAUUAGAUAUUUCAUAUCGUAAAUAUUACAGGUUUUUCCAGAAUUAUUUAACCUUUAACAAUUUUCCAAGAAUAUUUAUUUACUUUUUUUUUCACAUCAGCAUAAAUAAGACGUAGUUACAUAUUAUUUGAACUUCAUUAUUAAAUUUAUAUUUUUUUUCAUCCAAUAAUAUCUAUUUAAAUAAAUCAUUAUGCUUUAAUUGCUUUAACAAAUGUUGAUGUUAUAUAAAGAGACAUAGGCAAAUAGAUUUUUAAAGAAAUCAAUUUUAAAUUUUUAAUUUUUAUGAAAAAUUGAGAGAAAAAAAUCUUUUAUCUUUAAUCUUUAUUUUUCAUUUUAUUAAGAUAAAAGGAAUAAAGAUUACGAUAAAUUAAUAAUUUUUUACAAGAUUAAAUAUUAGAAAUAUUUUUACAUAUUUUUGAAUAUUUUUGAGAAUAAAAAUAAUAAAAAUACGAUUGUGAUAAAAGUACAUUACAUUUGUACAUACAUUUUUAUCUCAUUUUUAUCUUUAUCCACGUAAAUUCUCAGACUUGUGCUAACUGGACAUUUCUUGUUCAUUUUCUGCAAAUAACGCGUACCUUUGUAUUUCGUAAUUCUAUUUUUAAGUCGCUUUGCGUCGAACAAUUUCAUCUUAAUAAAUAUUUGCAAGAUAUAUAUCUGUGUAUUACAUUAUUAUUUACAUAAUUUUUACAUAGUUUUUAGCAUUAUUUAUAAAAGAAUAUAAAAAAAAAUCGAAUAAAAUUCGAAAUAAUUAUGAAAUCUAUGAAAAUCAAUAUUUAUUAAUAUUUAAGAAAAUAAUAAUUAACUGUAAUUAUUUUCUGAAAUUAUUUUGUACAAUUAUAUUGAUAACCAAUAAAAUAUCGACAAAUAAAAU